rnacentral:rRNA from 1 species
CAACAGGGAUUGCCCUAGUAACGGCGAGUGAAGCGGCAACAGCUCAAAUUUGAAAUCUGGCCUCGGCCCGAGUUGUAAUUUGCAGAGGAUGCUUCUGGCGCGGUGCCUUCCGAGUUCCCUGGAACGGGACGCCACAGAGGGUGAGAGCCCCGUAUGGUCGGACACCAAGCCUGUGUGAAGCUCCUUCGACGAGUCGAGUAGUUUGGGAAUGCUGCUCUAAAUGGGAGGUAAAUCUCUUCUAAAGCUAAAUACCGGCCAGAGACCGAUAGCGCACAAGUAGAGUGAUCGAAAGAUGAAAAGCACCUUGAAAAGGGGGUUAAAUAGUACGUGAAAUUGUUGAAAGGGAAGCACUUAUGACCAGACUUGGGCCGGGCGGCUCAUCAGGGGUUCUCCCCUGUGCACUCCGCCCGGCACAGGCCAGCAUCGGUUCUCGUGGGGGGAUAAGACCGUCAGGAACGUAGCACCCUCCGGGGUGUGUUAUAGCCUGGCGGACGAUACCCCCGUGGGGACCGAGGUCCGCGCUCCGCAAGGAUGCUGGCGUAAUGGUCAUCAGUGACCCGUCUUGAAACACGGACCAAGGAGUCGUCCAUUAGAGCGAGCGUUUGGGUGUAAAACCCGCACGCGUAAUGAAAGUGAACGCAGGUGAGAGCUUCGGCGCAUCAUCGACCGAUCCUGAUGUUCUCGGAAGGAUUUGAGUAAGAGUUUUAACGGACGGACCCGAAAGACAGUGAACUAUGCUUGUAUAGGGUGAAGCCAGAGGAAACUCUGGUGGAGGCUCGCAGCGGUUCUGACGUGCAAAUCGAUCGUCAAAUAUGAGCAUGGGGGCGAAAGACUAAUCGAAC